GAUGAAUGCUGGCGGCGUGCCUAACACAUGCAAGUCGAGCGGCAGCGAGGGGUGCUUGCACCCUGUCGGCGAGCGGCGAACGGCUGAGUAACGCGUAGGAAUUUGCCCCAAAGUGAGGAAUAACUGCCCGAAAGGGUAGCUAAUGCCGCAUAUGGUCUUCGGAUUAAAGGAUUUAUCCGCUUUGGGAGAAGCCUGCGUUGGAUUAGGUUGUUGGUAGGGUAAUGGCCUACCAAGCCGACGAUCCAUAGCUGGUCUGAGAGGAUGAUCAGCCAGACUGGAACUGAGACACGGUCCAGACUCCUACGGGAGGCAGCAGUGAGGAAUCUUCCACCAUGGGCGAAAGCCUGAUGGAGCAACGCCGCGUGAAGGAUGAAGGCCUUCGGGUUGUAAUCUUCUUUUAUGAGUGAAGAAUAUGACGGUAACUCAUGAAUAAGCACCGGCUAACUACGUG
rnacentral:rRNA from 1 species